CUCAGAACGAACGCUGGCGGCGCGCUUAAGCAUGCAAGUCGAACGGCAAGAGGUAGCAAUACCUCCUAGAGUGGCGGACUGGUGAGUAACACGUGGGUGACAUACCCUUCAGAUGGGGAUAGCUAUUAGAAAUAGUAGAUAAUACCGAAUACGAGCACAGGGGUUAGAGAUCUGUGAGGAAAGGAGCUAAGGCUCCGCUGAAGGAAUGGCCUGCGGCCCAUUAGCUAGUUGGUGAGGUAAGAGCCCACCAAGGCGAUGAUGGGUAUCCGGCCUUAGAGGGUGAACGGACACAUUGGGACUGAGAUACGGCCCAGACUCCUACGGGAGGCAGCAGCUAAGAAUAUUCCGCAAUGGACGAAAGUCUGACGGAGCGACGCCGCGUGGAUGAAGAAGGCCGGAAGGUUGUAAAAUCCUUUUGAAACUGAAGAAUAAGCGUUGUAGGGAAUGACAGCGUGGUGACAGUAGGUUUUGAAUAAGCAACGGCUAAUUACGUGCCAGCCGCCGC
rnacentral:rRNA from 1 species